UCACCCCUGGUUCGUCUCUCCUGCAAGGUGGGGAAAGGAAAGUUAACCUGCCAGUGGGUUAAGCCCUUCCUGACUUUCAUACGGGAGCCGGGCAUUUUGUCCUGGUGACCCAGAGUUGUGGUGUGUGGGCUGGUGCCUCAACAACCCUCCAGUGCACCUGCGCCCCUCUUCAGUGAGUCCCUUUAUCCACUUGGGAUUUGCCCUCCUUUCCGUGAAGGUGCCCCACAAGCAUGUCCACCUGGGUGGUAACCCUUGCUGAGUUUUAAAAGUGUAUCUGUUCAGUCUGUUGAUCCAACAUCAGAUCAGCCUUGUCAGUUUCCUAAAGUUGAACGAACCACGGUUUUGUCUGCACGCUUUAGUUUUAUCACAACAGAACUGAGUGUGUCACCUGCAUCUCACGUGAAAAUCACAAAAUGCCCUCAUCCAUGACCAUUAAAGAUAGGUCACAUUUUUGCAAUGCCAGCAAUUUUGCAUAAACAGACUCUGUUUUCAGGUUUGCUGAGGUGCUGGAUAUUUGGAGGUGAGAGAUUUGAGGCACUCGAUUUUCUGGCAGGAACCAGCACAGGCCACGAGUCUCGGACUUCGUGCGGAGGUCUGCUGGUGUCUUCUGAGUGGGUGGAGCCAGGCGUGCCCACCAGAUGCGGGUAGCGUGUGCUAGGCCAGGACGGCUCCCCAGGCUCAAGUCGGCCUCCUCCUGGGCCGACGUGGGUUGGCUGCCUGUCCCCAGCUGAGUUGUGGCUGUUCCCCUCGCCUGCUCAGAUGAAGGCAGCGCUGUCAGAGGUGACCAGAGCCCGCUCCCUCGACCUUCAGGAUCCCCCGAGAGGGAGGCAACGUGUCAGGACGGUGUAUGUGGAGAGAGGCUUGAGGCUCGGUGCCCGAGCACGGGCAGGAGGACAGUGGCCUCGAUGCCAGAGACCGGAGGGAGGGACGCGACGAUGAGGCUGCAUAAGAAGAGAGCUGACUGUAGCUGAGUGUGUCAGCCACUCACCACCGAGUCCAGUUUCCGCACAGCACGAUCAUCGUGCCCUUGCUCACACACGUGUUAGAUGAGCUUGUGUGAGCUUUAUGGGCUGUAAUUUGUGAGUCUGUUCUGGGUGUGUGAUCCUGGCAGCCGGCUCGGCCUGGCCGCUCGUGACCUGGGGCCUUGUGGGGGUGGGGAGAGGGUGAGGAGGGGUGCACCCUCGACACCACCCUCUGAUGUGGCCUGCAGCCUAUGAAGAGUGAGGUUUGGGGGCCCAGAGUGUGAGUCACCAGCGGUAAAUGCAAACCAUAUGUGAUGCAUUUUCUCUGCUGCAGAAAGGGUUUCUGGUGACUGGCUCAGGCCAGGGCUCUGGAAACAGCAUUGCUUAUUUCACAUAAAAAUCCUAAGAAUGUGGGUGAACCUGUCUGAGAUCUGCGUAAUAAAACACUUAGUUGAAGUCAC